UGUGCGAUCCGUCCCGAGUCCAUAGUCGCUCGCAGUCUUGGUUGCAGGGACCCUAAGUCCGUAGCCUCGUCUGAUUUCAUGGGCCCUGCAGCCCCGACUUCCCUAGACGGUACCACGACUCCUCAAGGCCCCCAGGGCUCUGGCUUGGGAGCCCCGUCCAAUGCGCGGCCCCUUUUCUCACCUGGGGACAUCUUCCCCCAACGAAACUCGCCUGGCCGGGGCCCCUGGGUUACCCGGGACUCGGGGCUAGGAUAGAGGGCAACCACACUGCUCAAGAGAUCGCAAUGAAGUCCGUAGAUCUCCAGGCUAGAGCCGCAGAGGGAGGUGGCACGGUGGAGAACGAGGGGCUGGGCGUGGACAGUAGCCCUGGGGUCGUCCGGAGUCCUCGCGCCCUCAACGCGCGAAGGCAGUGGACUGACAUCUGCGCCGAAGUCGCGCGUACCCCGGGGAGGGUCGGGACCCUGGAAAUCUCGGACGCCGCAGCCGUCCAGGGCAGUCAUCGCUUUUCCCAAGCCUGGGAGUCCGGGGCCCCGCAAGGUUUCUCCGCGCUGUGGUCUCUGGAGCGCAGUGCGGAGGGAGUCAAGCUCUCUGCCGGCUGUCAGGGGACAAGCCGAAAACAGGGACGUCUCUGCAAUGCGUCCGACGCCAGCCGUCCUGUCCUGCUGCCUCCGGGGGAUGCUGCAGCCCGGGUUCUCCCGUCCCCCCACGCUGCCCGGCUCUCGGCCUCCCCUGCUCCCCGCGCUGUAGGGUGGCGGAGGAUGGACCCAGGUUGACGCGCCGCGCUGGGCUGGGUACCUGGGAAGAGCGCCCGCCUCCCGGACUCGGAGUCGGGCACCUGUGAGAAAGAGGAGAAAAUUCAGGCCUGGUGCUCAAGGCUCAGAGAUGAGGAGACCUCCCCAUCCCUCCAAAUUCCUGCCCGCGGUGUUGGGGCUGACCUCCUGGAAGCUGGCCUCUCCCUGGGUAUUCCCCAGCGUUACGCGGGGCUGUGGAUCUAAUUUCAAUUCAUUUGAAAAACAAAAGGACCAACCCUUCCUGACUUUUGGCGGUGGAGGAGGCUUUUAGGUUGGGGCCAGCGGUUCGAUCGAUCCAGGAAAGAGUUUGGGUUUGGGGGUUAAAGGGCCCAGGUUGAGUCAGCGACUUACUGGUGGUGCAGCCCCUAGGCCUCCCAGAUCGUAGUUCCAAAUUUUAUGUAAAACAACUAAUUUAUGGAGCCAUUUAACAAAUGGCGGAAAGAAGUGAGAGACCCUCUGUUGGGACGUUGGCCUCUCCCCUUAGAAGUGAAGCCACUUCAGAAGUGGUGGGUGAACUGAAGGCAGUUCCCAAGCAGUGAAGAGAAAAGAAAUACCCCGAAAUGGUUCUUUGAGGUCGGCUCUUCGGCUGAACUCUGCCCCCUUUUUCCUUCCCCCUUUCCUAAAGAUUUCUAAUUUUUCGCAAAGGAAUGCUAGUAGUGGGAG